rnacentral:tRNA from 1 species
GUCACCUUAGCUCAGUUGGUAGAGCACAGGACUGAAAAUCCUGGUGUCCCUGGUUCGAUCCCUGGAGGUGACA